rnacentral:rRNA from 1 species
UGGCGACCGGCGCACGGGUGAGUAACACGUAUCCAACCUGCCGAUGACUCGGGGAUAGCCUUUCGAAAAGAAAGAUUAAUACCCGAUGGCAUAGUUCUUCCGCAUGGUAGAACUAUUAAAGAAUUUCGGUCAUCGAUGGGGAUGCGUUCCAUUAGCUUGUUGGCGGGGUAACGGCCCACCAAGGCAUCGAUGGAUAGGGGUCUGAGAGGAAGGUCCCCCACACUGGUACUGAGACACGGACCAGACUCCUACGGAAGGCAGCAG